rnacentral:lncRNA from 1 species
UUUACAUACAAAACUCUUUUUUGUUUAUUUUUUGGUCUUUUGUUUUGUUUUGUUUCGGGGGGAAAGAAGUGGUUUUCUUUGUCAUCCUGGUCCUUAAUAGUAUUAGCCAAGGCUCCUCUCAGCUGCUCUCCUGCCCUGCUCUGCCCUCUACAGCCCUCUCUUGGAAGGACUCCCCUCUCCACCAGUAGAGGACGCCAAUGUGACAUGAAGGCUGCUGGGAAAUGUAGUCCAUGGUCUUAAAGGGUCUGCUCUGAGUCCCAGGAACCCCUCCUCUAGCUGCAGGAUGGGCUUAAACCUUUUAAGCCUAGAAUUUACAACAGUUUGGGGGCCUUUCUCUCUUGGUUCUUCAAUUAGCCCUAUCCAGAACACUUUGCAAAGCUUAAGGAGAGCCCAGGGCUGUUCACAACUUCCCCUUCCUCUAAGGCCUCCAGCACAGUGAGGUAAUGGAAUUGUGAUUAUGACAUCAUGGACAGUUCAGCUGCUUGCACUGGGGGAAAGGGAGAGUAUCAUGGUUACAGCUGGAUCACCUAAGGCAGAGAGGGAAGGAACCAACAGGUAUAUGAAGAAGACUGUAUUUCCUCCUCAGGAAGAAAAAAUCACCUAUAAGAUCCAUGGCUAUAACUGCUACCAAGCUCUGGGCUGCAGUAGUGUAUCAUCCAUAACGCAAAUAAGGUGCCUAAACCCUAUAUUGAAGGCUACAGAGAGGACUACAUUGAGACUUGGCAAAGUCCUAUAGAAGUUUUGUUUUCUUAUGGUAAACUAAUACAACAUAUAGCAUUGAUACAAAGGAUGCACUAAAGGAUGGACACAAAUGAAAGAACUGAGACAUGAAUUUGUUCUUAAGAAAAUUAUUCUCCAUUCUUUGAGAAGUCAACUGAAUAGGAUGAAGAAACUGCUCUAUGUUAUCAAGUUUUUAAAUUUUGUAUUUACUUAUUUACUUUUGUUGUUACUUAAAUCAACUUUAAAAUAAAAUAAAAUUUAUAUUUGAGUACAAAA